GAAUGCUGACAUAAGUAACGAUAAAGCGGGUGAAAAGCCCGCUCGCCGGAAGACCAAGGGUUCCUGUCCAACGUUAAUCGGGGCAGGGUGAGUCGACCCCUAAGGCGAGGCCGAAAGGCGUAGUCGAUGGGAAACAGGUUAAUAUUCCUGUACUUGGUGUUACUGCGAAGGGGGGACGGAGAAGGCUAUGUUAGCCGGGCGACGGUUGUCCCGGUUUAAGCAUGUAGGCUGGUUAUCCAGGCAAAUCCGGAUAAUCAAGGCUGAGGUGUGAUGACGAGGCACUACGGUGCUGAAGUAACAAAUGCCCUGCUUCCAGGAAAAGCCUCUAAGCAUCAGGUAACAUCAAAUCGUACCCCAAACCGACACAGGUGGUCAGGUAGAGAAUACCAAGGCGCUUGAGAGAACUCGGGUGAAGGAACUAGGCAAAAUGGUGCCGUAACUUCGGGAGAAGGCACGCUGGUGUGUAGGUGAAGUCCCUGCGGAUGGAGCUGAGACCAGUCGAAGAUACCAGCUGGCUGCAACUGUUUAUUAAAAACACAGCACUGUGCAAACACGAAAGUGGACGUAUACGGUGUGACGCCUGCCCGGUGCCGGAAGGUUAAUUGAUGGGGUUAUCCGUAAGGAGAAGCUCUUGAUCGAAGCCCCGGUAAACGGCGGCCGUAACUAUAACGGUCCUAAGGUAGCGAAAUUCCUUGUCGGGUAAGUUCCGACCUGCACGAAUGGCGUAAUGAUGGCCAGGCUGUCUCCACCCGAGACUCAGUGAAAUUGAACUCGCUGUGAAGAUGCAGUGUACCCGCGGCAAGACGGAAAGACCCCGUGAACCUUUACUAUAGCUUGACACUGAACAUUGAGCCUUGAUGUGUAGGAUAGGUGGGAGGCUUUGAAGCGUGGACGCCAGUCUGCGUGGAGCCAACCUUGAAAUACCACCCUUUAAUGUUUGAUGUUCUAACGUUGGCCCCUUACCGGGGUUGCGGACAGUGUCUGGUGGGUAGUUUGACUGGGGCGGUCUCCUCCCAAAGCGUAACGGAGGAGCACGAAGGUUAGCUAAUCCUGGUCGGACAUCAGGAGGUUAGUGCAAUGGCAUAAGCUAGCUUGACUGCGAGCGUGACGGCGCGAGCAGGUGCGAAAGCAGGUCAUAGUGAUCCGGUGGUUCUGAAUGGAAGGGCCAUCGCUCAACGGAUAAAAGGUACUCCGGGGAUAACAGGCUGAUACCGCCCAAGAGUUCAUAUCGACGGCGGUGUUUGGCACCUCGAUGUCGGCUCAUCACAUCCUGGGGCUGAAGUAGGUCCCAAGGGUAUGGCUGUUCGCCAUUUAAAGUGGUACGCGAGCUGGGUUUAGAACGUCGUGAGACAGUUCGGUCCCUAUCUGCCGUGGGCGCUGGAGAAUUGAGGGGGGCUGCUCCUAGUACGAGAGGACCGGAGUGGACGCAUCACUGGUGUUCGGGUUGUCAUGCCAAUGGCACUGCCCGGUAGCUAAAUGCGGAAGAGAUAAGUGCUGAAAGCAUCUAAGCACGAAACUUGCCCCGAGAUGAGUUCUCCCUGAGACUU
rnacentral:rRNA from 1 species